AAAUUAAUAAUAUUACACGUAAUAGUCAUGAAAAAACUUGAGUUUUAUGUAUUAUAGAAUUUACGAGCCAUUAUUUGAUUUCAAAUACUUGUUCCAUCGAUUCAUGUUAUCAGAAAUAAUAUGGUUAUCUUCAAUUUUUCAAAAAAUUAUGUUAACGAAAAUUAUUUCUUAAUGAAAAAUUUUGUCACUUGAGUAAACUUAUUCUAUUAUUUUAAAUAAGAAAGUUUUGAAUGUGUUGCGAACGCUGUACACUAUACCAUCGUGAGAUAUUUUUAUGCCUUAGGCAAACCCAUGGGCAAACAAAACAUUUAGCGUCAUCUUUAUACAAAAUAAAUUGGCGAUGGCAAGACUUCCUAUACAAAUGGCACCCUAGGCCAGGGAUAUUCAACCCGUCGAUCGCGGAGCUAUUUUUGGUCAAUCUUUUAUUUAUUUCUUCUUAUAAAUUUAAUUAAAACUGAAAACAUAAUAAUUUAUUUAUCAUUAAUUCUAUUAUUCUUUAAUUCUCUUUAAGUGUGUU
rnacentral:lncRNA from 1 species